AAUCCAAUUCAGGACAAACAACAGCUUUUGAUUUAGAACCAGCUCUUACUUUUCUCUUGUGUCACACGUGAUGAAGUCCUCACUUGAUAUUCCCCCCUGUAAAUUGCAAUGCAUGUCCUCGCCUUCGCCUUUUUCUGACACUUUAAAAUUAAUUUAUAGGCCGGGCAUGGUGGU